rnacentral:tRNA from 1 species
GGUUCCAUCGUAUAAUGGUUAUUAUCUUCGCCUGUCACGCGAAAGAUACGGGUUCAAUUCCCGUUGGAACCGCCA